GCAGCCGCGGUAAUUCCAGCUCCAAUAGCGUAUAUUAAAGUUGUUGCAGUUAAAAAGCUCGUAGUUGAAUUUCGGAAUCAAUUUGUUGGUCGUGCCUCGGUACGUACUGGUAUUAUUGGUUUCUACCUUCUGAAGAACCUUGAUGUCAUUAAUUUGGUGUCUUGGGGAAUCAGGACUGUUACUUUGAAAAAAUUAGAGUGUUUAAAGCAGGCUAACGCUUGAAUACAUUAGCAUGGAAUAAUGAAAUAGGACGUUCGAUCCUAUUUUGUUGGUUUCUAGGAUUGACGUAAUGAUUAAUAGGGAUAGUUGGGGGCAUUAGUAUUCAAUUGUCAGAGGUGAAAUUCUUGGAUUUAUUGAAGACUAACUACUGCGAGAGCAUUUGCCGAGGAUGUUUUCAUUAAUCAAAAACGAAAGUUAGGGGAUCGAAGACGAUCAGAUACCGUCGUAGUCUUAACCAUAAACUAUGCCGACUAGGGAUCGGAUGAUGUUAAUUUUUUAAUGACUCAU
rnacentral:rRNA from 1 species